rnacentral:rRNA from 1 species
UAUGUGAUCGUCUCUCGCAUAUCAAUAAGCGGAGGAAAAGAAACUAACAAGGAUUCCCUUAGUAACGGCGAGUGAAGCGGAAGAGCUCAAAUUUGAAAUCUUCAAGGUUUUACCUUGACGAAUUGUAGUUUAAAGAAGUGUUUUCUGUUGAAGUUUUGGUAAUAGUUCUUUGGAAUAGGACAUCAUAGAGGGUGAGAAUCCCGUAUUUGACCAUUAUUUUCAGCCUGUGUGAUACACUUUCAAAGAGUCGGAUUGUUUGGGAAUGCAGUCCAAAAUGGGUGGUAAAUUUCAUCUAAAGCUAAAUAUUGGCGAGAGACCGAUAGCGAACAAGUACCGUGAGGGAAAGAUGAAAAGAACUUUGAAAAGAGAGUUAAACAGUACGUGAAAUUGUCAAAAGGGAAGCGUUUGACACCAGUGUUGUUUUCUCGAAAAUCAAUUAAAAAGAGUUAGAUUUUGUUGUGUAUUGACCUUAACAGCUUGCAUUUCAAUUUUCUUGCUUUUUUUAAUGCACUUUUCGUUUAACAAGUCAACAUCAGUUUCUUUUGUUGUAAAAAGGUCAUUGGAAGGUGGCUUUCUUUUCGGAGAAAGUGUUUAUAGCCUUUGACUCCUGCAAUCGGAGAGACUGAGGUCUGCAGCGUAGAUCCUUCGGGGUUAGAUACAUUUGUGCUAAGUUAUAGCUUUUUAUAGACAACUUGUUGACUAUGAUUAGUCUUGUAGCUUACUCGCUUAUGCUAUUUACCUACGCUUAGGAUGUUGAAGAUGUAGCACAUCAU